AAUAAAUCUUUUAUAAAUCAGUAUAAAGUGUUAAUAGUUAAAUAAAGUUUAUAAUGGCAGAAAAAAUGUACAUACGAGCUGUAUGGAUUGAAAAUGGAGAAAAAAUUGAGGGUACAGCACCAGAAUGUUGGGCAAUCGAAAAUUUUUUGUGCUGGCCAUCUUCGUUAAAUGUUAUAAAAUGUUUCACUGAAAUGCGUGAACCGCAAGCUAACUGGCACAGGUUUAAGCUAUUGAAAAUAAAAUGUCGUGGAGAUCGUGAUUUGUGUGACAACUUUGAAUUUGCAACUACCAGUGAUACUCAGGUAGAAUCAGAUUCAGAAUAUGAGGAGCCACUACCAUUUUCAUUGAAGAGGAAGCAAAACCAAGUUAAAGAUAAACAACAGAACAGUAAGAAAGUGUCUAUCCCUGUAACUCAAGUAAAAAAGAAAAAAAUAACAAUUCCUAUGCAUACUCCACAUGCUGUUGCUCAAGAUCAACAAUCGCAAGGAUUUUGUGAGGAAAAAGAUGGUUUUAAUAUAGUGCAAAGCCAAGGCGGUGCAUGUGCUUUUCCUCAAAAGAGAAAAGAACUUCUAUUGCCAGAGACACCUAUAUUAAAUUCUCUUAUAAGAAAGACAACUAGAAAAGAUGCAUCAUUAAGUGGAAUAUUUCCACUUACUGAGGAAAAAUUUCAGAAGAAAGUUAUAUGUGCACUAGCAGAAAUGAAAGAGAUGUUAGUGAAAGCUCUCUCUAGUAAUGAAAAUAAUAUUGCGACAAAUAGUCAGGAAAUUCCAUGCAUGAAUUCGCUAAAGUUGUUUAGUGAUUAUGAUUGUAGUUUAAGCGAUUCUAAGUUGAAAUCUGAAGUGGUUAACAAACUUUCUAAAAUUGGCGGUGAAACCAUAAAAAUAAAUACAAAAAAUGUGAUGCAAAGGUUGAUGACUAAUGGUUUACAAUCAAAGUUUAACAUGGCUGGUAGCAAGGGUAAAAAGAAAUUUGAAGGCACAAACAUUUGUGAGGUUGUUGUUGAGAGCGUCAUUUUAAGUAAAGCAACUGCUACAGUCUCUGAAGUCAGAAAAAAUAUCAUGAAUAUAUUGAAAUAUGCACCCGAUAGAUCAAAUGGUGGUGGUCGGGGCAUAAAUGAUAACUCAGAUAUAUAGUUAUAUGUUAACAAAAAAUUUGAAAAAGUAUAGUAGGGCAAGCAAAAUGUACAUUCGAGCUGUUUGGAUAGAAAAUACAGAGAAAUAGAGAGAGAAAAUUCAAUUGAUAAUUUUUUGUGCUGGCCAUCAUCAUUAAAUGUGAUAAAUUGUUUCAAUGAAAUGCGUAAACCACAGUUUAAUUUAUACAGAUUUAAGCUGCUCAAAACUAAAUGUCAUGGAGAUAAUGAACCACUACUAUGCUUAUGCAAGAGAAAACAUAAUAACCAACAGAAUAGUAAACAAGUAC